AUGAUAAUUAAAACCUUGUCACGAUUUUCACAUCUUUUCGAAAAAUCAUCAUUUUUCAAAAAAUUCGAUCAUGGAAAAAAAAAAAAAAUUACAGCAAACUCAAACAAUAAAAAUUAAAAAUUAGGUUUAAUACAUCAUGAUAAUCAAAACUUUAUCACGAUUUUCACAUCUUUUCGGAAAAUCAUCAUUUUUCAAAAAAUUCGAUCAUGGAUAAAAAGAAAUAAAAAAAAAAAAG
rnacentral:lncRNA from 1 species